CCUACGGGAGGCAGCAGUGGGGAAUAUUGCACAAUGGGGGAAACCCUGAUGCAGCGACGCCGCGUGAGUGAAGAAGUAUUUCGGUAUGUAAAGCUCUAUCAGCCGGGGAGAAAAUGACGGUACCUGAUUAAGAAGCCCCGGCUAACUACGUGCCAGCAGCCGCGGUAAUACGUAGGGGGCAAGCGUUCUCCGGAUUUACUGGGUGUAAGGGGAGCGUAGACGGCAGCACAAGUCUGGAGGGAAAUGCCGGGGCUUAACCCGGGAACUGCUUUGGAAACUGUGCAGCUAGAGUGCAGGAGAGGUAAGUGGAAUGCCUGGUGUAGCGGUGAAAUGCGUAGAUAUCAGGAGGAACACCAGUGGCGAAGGCGGCUUACUGGACUGUAACUGACGUUGAGGCUCGAAAGCGUGGGGAGCAAACAGGAUUAGAUACCCGUGUAGUC
rnacentral:rRNA from 1 species